GGAAGGAUCAUUAUCGUACAGAAUGUGAGAGGCAUGCGAGCGCUGUCGCUGACCCAAAAGUCGUGCACGCCCGAGUGUGUUCUCUCACAUGAUCAAUCCAUCUCACCCUUUUGUGCAUCACCGCGUGGGCACCCUUCGGGAUCGUCUCGGAGGGGGCUCGCGUUUUCACACAAAACCCCCCUUUUAAAAAAAGUGUAGAAUGACCUCAUUUAUGCGCUAACCCGCAAUCAAUACAACUUUCAACAACGGAUCUCUUGGCUCUCGCAUCGAUGAAGAACGCAGCGAAAUGCGAUACGUAAUGUGAAUUGCAGAAUUCAGUGAAUCAUCGAAUCUUUGAACGCACCUUGCGCCCCUUGGUAUUCCGAGGGGCACACCCGUUUGAGUGUCGUGAAAACCUCAACCUCCUUGGUUUCUUCUGGAGACCAAAGCAGGCUUGGACUUUGGAGGCCCUUUGCUGGCACCUCUCUUUUGAAGGCCAGCUCCUCUUAAAUGAAUUAGCAGGGUCCUCUUUGCUGAUCCUCGACGUGUGAUAAGAUGUUUCCAUGUCUUGGUUUCUGGCUCUGUCACCUUUGGGACCCGCUUCUAACCGUCUUGACCUUGCAUCGAGACAACGUUCGAGCAUGUCUCCCUUUCUCGGGAAGCUCCCUCGACCCCACGAACCCCUUGACCUCAAAUCGGGUGAGACUACCCGCUGAACUUAAGCAUAUC
rnacentral:sRNA from 1 species